GGCUAACGCUGGCGGCGUGUCUUAGCCAUGCAAGUCGAGCGGACUUAUGGGGUAACUUAUAAGUCAGCGGCGGACGGCGGAGUAACACGUAGCUAACCUACCCUCUGGACGGGGAUAACCUACCGAAAGGUGGGCUAAUACCCGAUGUAGUCAUCCUGUAUAGGGGUGAUGAAAGGUGGGCUUCUGUUUACAAGCUCAUGCUGGAGGAGGGGGCUGCGGCCUAUCAGGUAGUUGGUAGGGUAAUAGCCUACCAAGCCGAUGACGGGUAGCCGGCCUGAGAGGGUGACCGGCCCGAGGGGCACUGAGAUACGGGGUCCCACUCCUACGGGAGGCAGCAGGCUAGAAAUUUGGGCAAUGGGGGAAACCCUGACCCAGUGACGCCGCGUGCAGGAAGGAGCCCUUCGGGGUGUAAACUGCUGUCGUGUAGGGAGAAGGGUACUAAGGUGAACAAUCUUAGUACUUGACGGUACUACAGAGGAAGGACCACGACGUACCUACCGUGCCACGCGACGCGCCGGUAGUAGUACGUACUAU
rnacentral:rRNA from 1 species